rnacentral:rRNA from 1 species
AUGGAUUGUGGUGGAAAGCUUUUGCGGUGUGGGAUGGGCCCGCGGCCUAUCAGCUUGUUGGUGGGGUGAUGGCCUACCAAGGCGACGACGGGUAGCCGGCCUGAGAGGGUGACCGGCCACACUGGGACUGAGAUACGGCCCAGACUCCUACGGGAGGCAGCAGUGGGGAAUAUUGCACAAUGGGCGCAAGCCUGAUGCAGCGACGCCGCGUGAGGGAUGACGGCCUUCGGGUUGUAAACCUCUUUCAGCACAGACGAAGCGCAAGUGACGGUAUGUGCAGAAGAAGGACCGGCCAACUACGUGCCAGCAGCCGCAGUAAUACCAA